UACGGGGGGGGCAAGCGUUGUUCGGAAUUACUGGGCGUAAAGGGCUCGUAGGUGGCCAACUAAGUCGGACGUGAAAUCCCUCGGCUUAACCGGGGAACUGCGUCCGAUACUGGAUGGCUUGAAUUCGGGAGAGGGAUGCAGAAUUCCAGGUGUAGCGGUGAAAUGCGUAGAUAUCUGGAGGAAUACCGGUGGCGAAGGCGGCAUCCUGGACCGACAUUGACGCUGAUGAGCGAAAGCUAGGGGAGCAAACGGG
rnacentral:rRNA from 1 species